UUAUUUCCAGUUCUUGAGAGUGCUCGAGGCAUAUGCUAUAUAUCAGGGUCCAGCGCUAGUUUUUUUUUCUUCUGUCAACUUAAGAAAGUUUUGAAACGUGCUCCAGCCUCACAUUGUCUUACCGGUUUCAUAUUUGUACUGCUCAGCCUGAGAAAAGUUCUUAAGGGUGCUCGAGGCACAUGUUUUUUAUCCGAAUCCAGCACUAGUCCAUUUUCACGUUCAUACGAAAGUUUUGAAAGGUGCACCAGCCUCACGUUGUCUGUUUCAUGUUCAUAUUACUGAGACUGCGAAAGUUUUUCAGUGUGCUCCAUGGGCCACUAUAUCUCACGCCACCAGAGCUAGUUUUAUUUCUGCUUUUAUAGUUUGUGC